GACCUUGCUAGCGAUUUGUUAAGCCCCGCGGGUCCGGCCGCGGGGCCCCCUGGUGCCUGGGGCGGGAGGGCCCCGGCGGAGGGGGGGGCAGGCAAGGCAGCGCCGGCCGCCCGGCCGCCCGGCCCCCCGGCCCCCCGGGCCCCCCGGCCCCCGUCGGCACGGGGUAGGCCGGCGGGGCGGAGGCGGCGUGCGGCGCCCCGCGGGCCCGGCAGGCCCCCGGGCCACGCUCGCGCCCGGAGCAGCGUCCUCCCGGCGCCCCGCGCGGGGCGCCCCGCGGGCUGGCUCCUGACCGUUCCCAGACCAAGUGGUCUCUGAGCGCGGGGGCAGGUCGGGAGCGCCGCCGCACCGAGCCGGCCUUACGCGGUGGGACAGCGGGGCAGCGACUGUAAGGCAGGUUGGGCUUCCGGACGCAGGGCGUCGCGCUACACGUUGACCUUGGGUGCCCGCGAGUCACGUGCGGGUCGCGGUGACGCCCGCAGGCGCGGCGGGCGAGUCCGUCCGUGAGCCCAGGCCGCGUCGAGGCAGCCCCGCGCGCCUGCGGCGUGCCGCGCCCCGGCCGCGCGGGGCCUCCGCUGUGUGCGGGGACGGACGCCCGGGCAGGGCCCUGCGGGGCCGCGGCCUCCCACCGCGGGCAGGCGUGGAGGCGCGGCGGAUCUCCUCCCUGCGCUGGCUCUCCGCGUUCCCGCGGCCCCGGUCCUGCCAGCCUGUGCCGGUUGGGUGGCCUCUGGGCUCAGCCAUGCCCUCGGCUGCUUUCCUGCUUAGGUCGCUGCUUGGCCUGAGCGGCUGCGCCUCGCUCUGCGGAAUUCAGAAAAAGCCGCAGCGGACGGAGACUGGGGACCGUCGCGUUGUGUGGGCGUGGGGCCGCACUCCUCAGCCAGAAGGGAGAAGCCCGAGAAUGAAAAGCACUAAGGCGUGUGUGCUGCGGGUAACGCAGGGCGUACAGGGGAGAGUGUGGCCGAAACACCCGUGUUGAAGAGAGAAACCUCUCUAAUCUGGUCAUUGACGCUAAGAAGUCAGAACAGAAGAGCAAACUAAACCUAAAGCAACAGACCAGAAAUACUGGCUGGAGCAGGAAUAAACAGAAAACAAAAACUGGACAAAUCCUACAAAACCAGAAGUUGGUUCUUUGAAAAGAUCAGCAAAUGACAAACCUUGAGCUGGACUGACCGGGUGGAAAAGAGGGAAACCUCGCUGAACUCAGGGAUGAAAGUGAGAAGAGCACUGCCGACUUUACAGAAAUAAAAGUGUUUAUGAGGGAAUAAUAGGGACAGCUGAAUGCCAGAAGAUUAGGUAAUUUUUUAAGUGAAACGGAUAAAUCCCUGGGAAAACAAAAAUACAGAAAUUGAGGAAGAAAUGGAACUACUCCCACUUUGUCCAGGUGUUGCUAAAGGCCUCAUGGACUCCAGGCCUUCCAAAGAGGGUGUUCUCUCUCCUUGGUCCCCACCUCUGAUCCUCCUAGUAGUCUCCAGAAGCUUCUUUUAAAGCCCCUAAGUACUCCGGCUUGGCCAGGUGUUGAAGGAAGCCACACUCCCUAGCAAGAUAGGGAGCAUGAUAGCUGUUUUUCCUCUCCUUAUCCAAGAAGCAGAGACACCUCCCUAAAAUGAGUGUCAUUUUUCUGGAAUUAAUACAGUAUAGCCUGUGGUGAAAGUAUUUUCUGCCAACAUGACUUUGAUCCUGAUCCUUAGAAAAGAGCAACACAUUUUCCAUAUUUUUGCCAAGAGGGGCUGCUGGCUCUUCCCAACCGUAGUCUAUAGGAGAAGAAACACGCGUGGUAUUCACUUAAUUUUGCCUACCUUGCGGUGGUGCCAUUUUCAUAGAUUUCUGAUUCCCGAAUCCUCUUCUGAUGAAAGGAGGCGACCCUUGACCCCCUUACCAUCCUCGGAACACCCCAGCUGUCAAGGAAACAUGGUUUUUCAGGCUCUGGGCUAUUGCAAGUUCUCUAGCCCCAAACUUAGCCAAAACAGUCCUAGAAGCCCCAAGAGGUCAAUCUGUGAUGUUCCAAAGAGCCUUCUGGACUCCUGCCAGGUACUGUCCCAAAGAGAUCCUCAGGACUCACUUCUUGGUCCCCCUCGCUCCCUUCUGCGUAGGUCUGCCAGGCCUGAUGCUUUCAGUGGACACACCGUGCCACUGUCGCAGUUGUUCCUAGCAGCGUGCCAGCAUUGUGUAUAGAAGAAACCUAGAGCUCCAACACCUCAGCCUUUCUUCUGUAGGCGCACAGUCGGAGGGGCUGAUCGCCUAAAUUAAACAACUGAUUUGGGGCAGGGCCGUGUUGGAGCCUCAGAUGGACAUUUGGGUUGUUUUGGAUUCUUAUGAAAAGUGCUGGGUUUCCUGGUGCCCGUGAGCUGGAGCCUGAGGAAGGAGCUGCUGAAUCCCAGGAUGCAGAUGCUUUGUGUCAGUGUUCCUGAGACGCUGGUGUGAAGUCCUCCUGUGACGUUUGGUCUGGCUUUGGUGUCAGGUGGCUCCUGCAGGACUCUUCCGAGGCCCCAGUUUUUCCAGAAGGACUUGGAUCCUCCACAGAGGCAGAGUCGACUGCUGGUCCCUGGAAUGUGAACGGGGUGUCCCCAGGACAAAGCACAGAUGAAGAUGAUUUACUCUCACCGGAGAUAAGAACGGUUCUCUUUCUGUCCUACCGAAUACGCUCACAGCAGUUCUUCUCGAUGGAGCUUCUUCCAUGUGAUUCGCGUGGUUGCAGGGCGCAGUGCGGUGGGCUUUGUCUGGUUCCCACAGGUGCCAGAACUUUUCAUCCCGAGGAAGGAGCCCAGGGCUGGUCACCGCGCCCGCUUCCCGGCAGACUCCCCACCAGGGGAGGGACAGCCACCACAGGGGGGCGUUCCCCCAGCGGGCUCCCCUAAGUAAAUAAUAAUAACCUAAGUACAUUUAUUGAGUAAUGGCAUAAACGCCAUGUGGGGUGCUCAAGCAUCUGAGGUGUGGGAGCAGUGCUGGACUGCAGGAGGCUUCAGUGAAAGUCCCUUAACCAUGGUGAGAAUGGGAAAUGCCAUUUUCUCUCAUCUGCUUUGGGAGUCUUCCUCCUGCUGAUCAGCAGGGAAUAAUUCCAGUGCUUUCACUCUUCUCCCAGGCCUCUGAAGCAAGAGGCCUUUGAUUUAUAUUACGCUGUCAGAUAGCUGUGCAGCGGGAGAAGGCCCCUCGGUAAUUUGGAACUUCCUCAUGCUGCUAAUGCAAUCAGGAAGCUGGCCCUUUAUAGAAUUAGAGGGUGUGUGCGUGCUUGGAGUUACUAGCCUGCCACCCUGCGUGCAGUGGGAACAGAGAGGGCGGGAGGGAUGGGGAGGCUCUUUGGGGGCAGAUAGCGAUUAGUGGGACUUAGCCAACAAUUUUGAAACCUGGAAAUCAGGUUUUUGGAAAUAAAUUUUAGUAGGUGAGUUCUCCAAACAGUGUUCUCCAAACUUUUUUCCGGUCCUGUCCUCUCUUCCUGGUGGCGAGCUCUCGCCUCCCACUGCCUGUCCUUAAGGGGUCCUCAGCUCAGUAUCUGAUUCCAUUUUAGUGCCAGUCCUGUGAACUAAGAGGUCUUAUUAUACCCAUUUUCUAGGUGAGGAAACUGACAUUCAGAGCAGGUGUUUAGAGCGGUGGCACUUGGAUUCUGGUCUUCUAACUCCAGAAUUCUCUUGAUACAUUGUACUUUCUCAAAAUUGUCUGCAUCCAGAGACUCAGGGCACCUGCUUGUAUGAUACAUACCCUAACCUUCUGCUCUGGUAACUCCCAGCUUUUUCAUGGGGAAGAGGGUUGGAAUAAAGAAACCCGAGACAUCAUAGAUUUCCCCAUAUCAUGAAGUGUUGCAGUUUUGGGAAAUUCAUGUACCAAGUAAUUGGCUUUGGGAAGGAGGACAGAUUGUGGUGUUGUAGAAUCCUAUUGCAUAAGAGGGGUCUUAUUCCUCCUACUGUUCAGCAACUGCUUAAAAUGCUGGAGGGGAAUAUAAAAUGCAUUAAGAAAUAUUUGUUGAGGAAGUCGAUAAAUGGGUAAAGCAGAUAAUAAACAUAGUAUCUGGCCUUAAAGAACAAACAAGAUCAUAAGAGGAGGCAUUACAAACACCAAAGUUUCGCGCAGAAGCUGGUGUUGCACUUCCUAAUUAUUUGCAGUUGCUGUGAGCAGCUUUGAAGACCCUCUGGAUGCAGGUUUCUCUGGUUUGCAGUCUCUUCUGUCACCACACGGGGGCACAAUUGGACCUUUGAAAAUUAUGUGCGCAAGAUGAAAUUUCUCGGUAUUUAUAGCAUCCUCCAAAUAAAAAUGGCAAAACUUAGUGUACUAAACAGGGAAAGGGAGGGAUCAGGCUUUAACGAGAGAGGUGUACUGUCACUGCGCCCAGAGGGGAAGAGGUUUAGGAAGGGCCGGAUUACACCUGAGAGGUCUGUUGGCCUGUGCGCCCAGGUGAGGGAGGAGCCUGAUCACCUGUGCGCCCAGGUGAGGGGGCAGCCGGGUCCACCUGCAUGGACCAUCUGUGGGCUGACUCCUGGCUGCUGUCUUGGGCCAUGCCCACCACCCAGUGUGAUUAUUGCCAGUGCCCCUGGUACCUCAAAAUGCCCCGGUUUAGAGAGGACUCGUGAGCAUCCUGGUUCUAAGGGAUGGACGUGAGGGGUGGGAGGCCUGUGGGCGAAAACGCUGGGGGUCUGGUACCCACACAUCGACCAGGAGUGGACAGAGGUGGGGGGCUGGGGUGCUGCAGAGCUGGGGGCACAGGAAAAAUGAAGGAGACGCCCCGGGACGGAAGGCUCCCUGCGCUCAGCCCUCACAGUCUACCGUUUGUAAAUCUCCAUGGGAACUUGGAGGUUAUAAGCAAUUACCGCCGAUGAGAAACUGGAACUCAGAGCCACGCAGCAUCAGGGAGACUCUAGAACAUGGGUGGGUCAUGGGGAAGGAUUCCUGUGGGAAGUGCCCUCAGCCGACUGUCCCCAGGCUGGGGCCCCCCUGAGGACACCGAGACCAGGAUGCAGGCCUGGGUCUGGGGAGGUGGCAGGACUUCCAAAGCGUCCCUCCCCUUUGUCCUCCUCCCCUUCCUUCCUCCCCUCCCUCCCCUCCCUUCCUCCCCAUCCCUCCACCUCCUUCCUCCUCCUUCCCCUCCUUUCUCCCCUCCCUUCCUUCCUUCCUCCUCCCUCCCUCCCUCUCCCCCCUCCUCCUCCCCCUCCUUCUCUUCCCCCUCCUUCAUUUCCAUUCCUCUCCCUCCCCCUCCCUCCUCCUCUUCCCCCUCCCUUUCUUCCUCCUCCCUUCCCCUCGUCUUCCUCUCCUUUCCCUCCCCCCUCACCUCUCCCCCUUCCCUCCCUCAUCCUUCCCCUCCUCUUCCCUCCCUCCCUCUCCCUCCUCCUUCCUCCCCUCCCUCCUUCCCCUUCCCUUCUUUCCCUCCUCCCCAUCCCUCCUCCUCCCUCUGUUAAUAUAUCUCAAUAAGUUAAAUUUUAUAAGUUUGUAUAAAAAGUGGCUUAGAGAAAUAUGAAAGCAUAUAUUAAAAUGCAGUGAAGACUGAGUAUAUCCCCCCAAAAAUUGAAAGCAGAGUCUCAAAAACAUACAUGUGCACCCAUGUUCGUAACAGUGUUAUUCACGAAGAUGGACACGACCCAGUGUCGAUGAAUGGAUAUUUGGAUAGGCAAACUGUGGUCCGUCCACAUAACGGAAUGUUAUUCAGCCUUAAAAAGGAGGGAUAUUCUGGCACCUGCUGCCGCACAGUUGAGCCUGGAGGACACUGCGCCGAGUGACGUGAGCCAGCGCGGUGGGACUCCUCUUGUAUGAGGUCCUGGUGCCACCAGAUCAUGGAGAUAGGGCAGGUGGUGGGUGCGGGGGCUGGGGGAGCAAGGGGGUUGGUGUUCAGUGGGUUAGGGUUAGGACAGAGGCUCAGUCUUACCGGGGAGCAGAGGAUGGGGACGGGUGUACUGUGUGGUGAAUGUGCUGAUCUGUUUGUGUCACUGAGCUCUACACUUAAAAAUCGUUGUGAUGCUAGAUUUUAUGUUCUUGUGUACUUUACUACAAGUUACAAAGUGCCUUGUUUGGGAGUCCCGGGUGUUUAAAGUGAGGGGAGCCCAGGCUGUGGGAUUCACAGGAUCGUGUGGGACUCUUCUGAGGCCCCCGUUUCUCCAGAAGGACUGUGAUACUCCACAGUCAAGACACACAAUAUGUGGGUUUUGUUUUGGUUCCUUUUUUUAAAUAGAAAGGAGGAAUUCCAGAAUCACAGUGAGUGAGGCUGACGGCAGCCUGUUUGAAGAAUCACCAAGCUGAGCUCGUGCGUUGGGAGCAGCAGAGAUGCAGCCCCUUGUGGAGCGGUGCGGCAGGGUGGUCCUGGGUGUGGGGACACUCACAGGGUCCCCUGAUUAACAUCUGCACGUUCUGCACACGCCCACGGACAUGGUUCGUGGGGGCUGCUCACGCUGUGGCCCUGUCCUAUCUUUCUUUACUCCACGUGGUGAGGCCGACACAUUCCAUCCAUCUCACGAAAGGAAUUUAUGGAUGUCCCUCUGUUUUUCAAGUCCAAUAAAACCUGCCCUAGUGGUUCAACGCCCUUUCCCUCCCACCCAGACUCCACGUGGAAAAGUCUCCGGGCCAGCAGGAGCUGCCACGUGGGGACCUGUCCUCUGGGCUGACUCAGGCUCCUACGGGGCAAAGGGCAUCCGACGGCGUCCAGGCAGCGCGCCUGCCCUAGGGGACGCGGCAGGGAGGGGGCCUCAAACCUUUCUACUUCGUGGGACGAUCUGGUGGCCACAUUGCAGGGUUGAGGCUGGGAACGCCAGGUUGGAACGGCCUGGAGACGCACGCAGAGCAGGGUGAGCGGCCCUCUGUUCAAGACAAACGCUCUUUUCUUGCAACAGACUUGUCAAGAAAUGUUACUACCCACGUAUUUACACUCAAACGUUUAAGCUUAUACACAAUUUUAGGUUGGAGUUCCUUAU